UGGAUUGUGGUUCAGUGGCAGAGGGCUUGUCUGGCAUGUAGGAAGCUGUGGGUUCAAUUCCCACCACUGUAA
rnacentral:tRNA from 1 species